rnacentral:rRNA from 1 species
GACGAACGCUGGCGGCGUGCUUAACACAUGCAAGUCGAACGGAAAGGCCCUGCUUUUGUGGGGUGCUCGAGUGGCGAACGGGUGAGUAACACGUGAGUAACCUGCCCUUGACUUUGGGAUAACUUCAGGAAACUGGGGCUAAUACCGGAUAGGAGCUCCUGCUGCAUGGUGGGGGUUGGAAAGUUUCGGCGGUUGGGGAUGGACUCGCGGCUUAUCAGCUUGUUGGUGGGGUAGUGGCUUAGCAAGGCUUUGACGGGUAGCCGGCCUGAGAGGGUGACCGGCAACAUUGGGACUGAGAUACGGCCCAGACUCAUACGGGAGGCAGAAGUGGGGAAUAGUGAAAUAUGGGCGGAAGCCUGAUGCAGAAACGCCGCGUGCGGGAUGAUGGCCUUCGGGUUGUAAACCGAUUUCGCCUGUGACGAAGAGUGAGUGACGGUAAUGGGUAAAGAAGCACCGGCUAACUACGUG